UUCAAAAUGAAAAGGAAUAGUAGUCUCCUAAAUUUUUUUUCAAAAUAAUAUAAAUUAUUAAAAAUAUUAUGUACCAUUCCAGUAUCUACAUCCACUCCCGAGAGAUCAUUUUCAUGUAUGAAACGACUAAAAACCUAUUUAAGAAACUCAAUGACUGAAAAUCGUCUUAACGGCUUAACAUUGUUGGCCGUUCAUAGAGAAAUUCCAAUUGAUGCCAAAGAAGUUCUUGAUGUGAUGGCUCAAAAAUCAAGAAAACUGGAUAUAAUUUUGUAGAAUUAAUAUUUUAAUUAAAAAUAUAGUAUUGUUAUAAUUUAA